rnacentral:rRNA from 1 species
CGGCCGUUAAGCCUUGACGAGUAGGAGGAGCGCGGCGGUGUGCGUAGAAGGGUCUGGGCGCGAGCCUGCCUGGAGCCGCCGUCGGUGCAGAUCUUGGUGGUAGUAGCAAAUACUCUAGCGAGGGCCUGGAGGGCUGAUGUGGAGAAGGGUUUCUUGUGAACAGCCGUUGCACAAGAGUGAGUCGACCCUAAGGCCUAGGCGAAAGCCGAUGUCGAUGGUAGCUAUUCACUUAGCGCCGUCCGGCCGAAAGGGAAUCCGGUUCCUAUUCCGGAACCCGGUGGCGGAACCGCAUCUUCGCGGGCACUCGCCUGCGAGCGCUCGUCGGGGUAACCCAAAACGACCCGGUGACGCCGGCGGGAGGUCCGGAGAGAGUUGUCUUUUCUAUAUAAGCGUUCGAGUUCCCUGGAGUCCUAUAGCAGGAAGAUAGGGUUUGGAACGCGAAGAGCACCGCAGUUGCGGCGGUGUCCGGACCGUCCCCCCGGACCUUGAAAAACCGGGCGAGGGCUACGCGGAAUGUCGCGCCGGAUCGUACCCAUAUCCGCAGCAGGUCUCCAA